rnacentral:rRNA from 1 species
AACGUAGGUCACAAGCGUUGUCCGGAAUUACUGGGUGUAAAGGGAGUGCAGGCGGGAGAACAAGUUGGAAGUGAAAUCCAUGGGCUCAACCCAUGAACUGCUUUCAAAACUGUUUUUCUUGAGUAGUGCAGAGGUAGGCGGAAUUCCCGGUGUAGCGGUGGAAUGCGUAGAUAUCGGGAGGAACACCAGUGGCGAAGGCGGCCUACUGGGCACCAACUGACGCUGAGGCUCGAAAGUGUGGGUAGCAAACAGG